rnacentral:rRNA from 1 species
CGAACGCUGGCGGCGUGCUUAACACAUGCACGUCGAACGGAAAGGCCCUGCUUUUGUGGGGUGCUCGAGUGGCGAACGGGUGAGUAACACGUGAGUAACCUGCCCUUGACUUUGGGAUAACUUCAGGAAACUGGGGCUAAUACCGGAUAGGAGCUCCUGCUGCAUGGUGGGGGUUGGAAAGUUUCGGCGGUUGGGGAUGGACUCGCGGCUUAUCAGCUUGUUGGUGGGGUAGUGGCUUACCAAGGCUUUGACGGGUAGCCGGCCUGAGAGGGUGACCGGCCACAUUGGGACUGAGAUACGGCCCAGACUCCUACGGGAGGCAGCAGUGGGGAAUAUUGCACAAUGGGCGGAAGCCUGAUGCAGCAACGCCGCGUGCAGGAUGACGGCCUUCGGGUUGUAAACCGCUUUCGCCUGUGACGAAGCGUGAGUGACGGUAAUGGGUAAAGAAGCACCGGCUAACUACGUG